rnacentral:rRNA from 1 species
UACGUAGGGGGGCAAGCGUUGUCCGGAUUUAUUGGGCGUAAAGAGCGUGUAGGCGGUCAGGUAGGUCCGUUGUGAAAACUCGAGGCUCAACCUCGAGACGCCGAUGGAAACCAUCUGACUAGAGUCCGGAAGAGGAGAGUGGAAUUCCUGGUGUAGCGGUGAAAUGCGCAGAUAUCAGGAAGAACACCCGUGGCUAAGGCGGCUCUAUAGUACGGUACUGACGCUGAGACGCGAAAGCGUGGGGAGCGAACAGG